GUGGAGUGCGUGAACUUAGCCACUUGGCCAUGGGGCCAACCUGAUUGAUUCUUUUUAUAUUUUCCAGUUCUUUGUUGAAGUUCUCACUGAGUUCAUCCGUUCUUCUCCUAAGAUCAGUGAGCAUCCUGUGACUAUUAGUUUGUACUCUUUGUCAGGUAGAUUGUUUAUCUCUGUUUCAUUUACUUCUUUUUCUGAGAAUUUAGCCUGUUCCCUUAUUUGGAAUGUAUUCCUUUGUCUCCUCAUUUUGACUCUUUCUCUGUUCUUGUGUCUAUGUAUUAUGUAGAUCAGCUAUGUUUCCUGAUCUUGGAGAAGUGGCCUUGUGUAACAGAUGUCUUAUGAGGCUUAACAGUGUGCUUCCCUCUCAUCAUCAGUUCCAAAUGUUCCUGGAGUGUUCACUGUGUGAGCUAUGUGUGUCCUUCUGUUGUGGGAGGGUUACUUUUACUGCAGGUGCUCAAGAAGGCAAGGCUGUCCCUCUGGCCAGUUGGUUAUAAUGCUCAGAUGUGUGUGGCUGCUAUGGUCCCUUCAGUCACUUUAUUGGGCAUGGGGAGCCCCCCACAGUUGGCUACAAUGUAUAAUAGCACAUACCUCUUGCAGUUUUUCUGUUAAGUGAAUAGACCCCCAGCAUGGCUAGUUGCUAGGCUCAGGGGCUUACAAUAGCUGUAGACCUCAGGCCUGCAAGGCUGUUGUCAGCAUUAUCAGGAUUGUAGCUCAGUGGGGGCGGUCCCAGGCAUGGGAGCACUGAAUUGUUUCAGGCUUUGUAAGGUGGGGCCAAUUCUCUAUGUAGCUAUGAGAAGCAGAAGUCUGCUGCAGCUGACAAGCCCCAUUGCCCACAGGCCCACACACCCUGUCAAUAUAGUCCUGCCCAAUGUGCAUGCCUCGACCCACUGAAGCAGACCCAGUCACUCUGCUGCAGAGGCCCCACGCACUCCACCAACACAGGCCUGCCCCUUCCACACACCCUUCCCCACAGAUAUGCCUACUCACCCUGCUGCAGAGGUCCCAGACACCUCACCUAUGUUGGCCCACAGUUUGCCCAAGGGCUUGCUAUUGGGUGGUGCCAGUCCCUAGAGUGGGCUGCCUGCCCUGGCUGAGCUGGAUUAAAUCAGUGCUCUAGCAGAUUAGGCAGACCCCUGCACUACCUGGCCAGGAGAAGAACUCCAGUGGUGUGCACCAGCAUCUGUGUCAGCACACCUGUACUAGGUCACAAUAAUGGCUGCCACCAAUGUCUCAGUCCCUGGGGAGGUGCUCCCAGCCUGAGUAGGUCUCACUUCCCACUGAGAUGCACCCAGACACUAUCAAGUUAGUCUCUUUUUGCCAAAGGACUGUGUACCUUGCUUACUGGUGGUUUUAGGUUGCUUUCUGAAAUGGGUGAAUUUAUUCAUGGGCCUUUUAAGAGUAGGAUUUAUUCCCACAUUAUUUCUGAUUGCUUUUCUAGGGGUAGUCACCAUUGUUCUUGAUAGUCAGCAAAGCCAUUAUGACACUUUUCUUGGUGUGCUGAGUCCAAAAGCUGCUUAUUGUAGUAAAGCUCCUCUGCUCGGAUCCCUCACUCCUCCAGGGAAGGCUGCAUACCUUAAGAUUGUUCCCAACUGGCUGUGAAGUGCUGGAGGUAGAAGGUGGCUUUUUUUCUCUCCAGAAAGGAAUUUCUGCCUCUUCCACCUCACUCAACGAUCUCCCUUGUAGUAGGGGUUCUUUUAAACCAGUUUCCAGUUCUCUCUCAUGGGUAAUUGGUCCAAGAAUAGUUGUAAAUUUGUUGUGUCCAUGGGAGAAGAUGAGUUCAGAGUCUACCUACACCACCAUUUUGACACCGGUCCCUAAAUAUUUCUUGAAAAUUGGCUGAAUGCAUAAAUGGAAAGAGCAUAAAAUAUGAACUAGAAUACUAAGUUAUAAUUCUGAUUCUGCCCCUAAAAGUAUGCCUUUUAUUAAGUAUGGUGGACAGACUCUUAAGGUGGCUUUAUGAUCUCUACCUCCAGAUGUUCACGCCCUUGUGUGAUCUCUUCCUCUAGAGGGUAGGCAGGCCCAUGACUUGCUUUUAAUCAAUAAAAUUCAGCAAGGUGAUGAGGUGUAUGAGAUUAGACAAUUACAUUACAUAACACUGUAGUGCUCAUCUUGCUGGGGUUUCCUUCUCUGCCCUGCUGACUUUGAGGGAGAAAGUGGCCAUGUUGGGCAACUAUACAUGGAGAUGGCCUCUAGAAGCUCAGAAGGGCUUCCAACAAACAGCCAGUAGGAAAGUGAAACCUGCAAUCCUACAACCACAAGGAACUAAAUUCUUCCAAUACCUAAAUGAACUUGAAAGUGGAUUCUGCCCCAUUUGAACCUCAGAUGAGGCUGCAACCCUGGAUGAUGUCAUUAUUGCAGCCAUGUGAUACUCUAAGCAGAGGAUACAGUCAAACUCUGUCCAGACACAUGACUCAUAAAACUACAAGAAAGCAAAUAUGCCCAACUGCUUGAUCAAUUAGAAGAGCCAGUGCUUUAAUGCAUACCUCCUCAGCAGUAAAAAGAUUGGGCUAGGUAACCACUUGAAGGCCCAGAUGAGCAGGCACAUAUAUCAGGUGAUUCCUUUGCCCGGGAUGCAUUAACUUCAAUCCUACUAGAGAAAAGAUAGGAAUCGCCAUUUUGGCAUCAGGUCCAAAUUGCAUUCUUCUACUAAUUGCCAUGAAAACAACUGAUACUUUAUAGGGCUGGCCCUGUGGCAUAGCAGUUAAGUUCAUGCCCUCUGCUUCAGUAGCCUAGGGUUCACCGGUUCAGAACCUGGGCACAGACCUAUGCGCCACUAUCAAGCCAUGCUGAGGUGGUGUCCCACAUAUAAAGUAAAAGAAGAUAGGCAUGGAUGUUAGCUCAGGGCCAAUCUUCCUCAAAAAAAAAAAUGAUGCUUUAGACCUCUUUGUCUGUGUGUGCAAUUCUCAAUCAGUUGGGAUAUGGGAGGCAAGAAUAGUGAGUGAGUGGCACCCAAAAUUGCCAAUAGUGUCCUUUUACUGCUGGAGGUUCUGUCCUUUCUCCAUUUUGGAAAUUUCUUAUAUUGAAAUAUUUUUUAAAAUCUAUGAAAAUAACCCCCUCACCCAUAUCUCUCUUUGUUUAUCUAAUUCUAGCCCAACUGCCUCCAACUUCCAACUGCUUACAAGGCAUUCCCAACUGAAUACCACAUUGUACCUUGCAAUUAGCCACUGUGAUUCCUAAACUGUGAUGGUGAGCACCUGAUGAGCUAGUUAAACCUCUAACUUGUCAGCCCCUGCCCCUUUGGAUCUUUAUGGGAUCCUAGAAUUUGUAUUUGUAAUCAG
rnacentral:lncRNA from 1 species